CGUGUAGGCGGAUGGGGACGUCGGCAACUGAAAGCCCCCGGCUCAACCGGGGAAGUGGUACCGAAACGCCCCGUCUGGAGGGACGUAGGGGGACCUGGAACUUCCGGUGGAGCGGUGAAAUGCGUUGAGAUCGGAAGGAACGCCCGUGGCGAAAGCGAGGUCCUGGACGUCUGCUGACGCUGAGACGCGAAAGCUAGGGGAGCGAACG
rnacentral:rRNA from 1 species